rnacentral:tRNA from 1 species
GGGCUUAGUUUAGUGGUAAAACCUCAGCCUUCCAAGCUGAUGAUGCGGGUUCGAUUCCCGCAGCC